CACAUUGCGUAGAACAUCCAUCGCCUCAGCAACCUUGGACUUGAGAGCAUCAGGGGACUCGAGCAGGUGCAGGACCUCAGUCUGAUCCAUCUCCAAAAGCAUUCCAGUGACCUUUGCUGCUUGGUUUGGUUCCAGUUGCUCAACCAGUGGGUAUAGAUUUUCACCAAGUAUCUAGAUGAAAAACAAAAUGUUCAUGAUAAGCAAAAAAGAAUUAACAUUAUAGGAUAAAAAAAGUAUCAAUGCAGUAGCUGUUAAUGUUUUUAAACCUAUACAAAACAAUCAGCAGAAGCAGAAAGGCUACUGCAGUACUACACCACCAUACAGAUCCAAGUUAACUUGAUAUUUUAAGGUCAAAACGGAUGAUAAACCAAUCAACUGAAAACCAAGUUCUAGAUACUAUUGACUAUGCAGUAGAAGUUGACACCAAACAGGGACAUACCGUUCUUUGCUGCUCAGGAUUAGCAUUUGCAAGGGCAGAAGUCAGAGUCCCAAUUUGGGCGGCCGGUGAUACGGCUGCAUCUCUCACAGGGAAGCCUCCCAUAUCAUAUGCCUGGAUCAUACCUCCAGCAACCCCUGGCAU
rnacentral:lncRNA from 1 species